rnacentral:rRNA from 1 species
UGCGGAGGAUGCGAGCGUCAUCCGGAUUUAUUGGGUUUAAAGGGUGCGUAGGCGGACUGUCAAGUCAGCGGUAAAAUUGAGAGGCUCAACCUCUUCCCGCCGUUGAAACUGGUGGUCUUGAGUGGAUGAGAAGUACGCGGAAUGCGUGGUGUAGCGGUGAAAUGCAUAGAUAUCACGCAGAACUCCGAUUGCGAAGGCAGCGUACCGGCAUCCAACUGACGCUGAGGCACGAAAGCGUGGGGAUCAAACAGG